rnacentral:rRNA from 1 species
UACGUAGGGUGCAAGCGUUGUCCGGAAUUAUUGGGCGUAAAGAGCUCGUAGGCGGUUUGUCGCGUCUGCUGUGAAAACUCGGGGCUUAACCCCGGGCCUGCAGUGGGUACGGGCAGACUAGAGUGCGGUAGGGGAGACUGGAAUUCCUGGUGUAGCGGUGAAAUGCGCAGAUAUCAGGAGGAACACCUGCGGCGAAGGCGGGUUGCUGGGCUGACACUGACGCUGAACUGCGAAAGCUAGGGGAGCGAACGGG